AUUGAACGCUGGUGGCAGGCCUAACACAUGCAAGUCGAACGAGUGGCGGACGGGUGAGUAAUGUCUGGGAAACUGACUGAUGGAGGGGGAUAACUACUGGAAACGGUAGAUAAUACCGCAUACCAUCAGAUGUGCCCAGAUGGGAGUGGCUUGGUGGUGGGGUAACGGCUGACCAAGGCGACGAUCCCUAGCUGGUCGGAGAGGAUGAACAGCAACACUGGAACUGAGAAACGGUCCAGACUCCUACGGGAGGCAGCAGUGGGGAAUAUUGCACAAUGGGCGCAAGCCUGAUGCAGCCAUGCCGCGUGUAUGAAGAAGGCCUUCGGGUUGUAAAGUACUUUCAGUGGGGAGGCGUUACCCACAGAAGAAGCACCGGCUAACUCCGUGCCAGCAGCCGCGGUAAUAC
rnacentral:rRNA from 1 species